UACAGAGGGUGCGAGCGUUGUUCGGAAUUACUGGGCGUAAAGCGCGCGCAGGCGGCCCAUUAAGUCCAUCGGUCAAAUGCCGGGCUCAACCCCGAGCGUGCCGAGGAUACUGGCGGGCUGGAGACACGUAGAGGCAAGCGGAAUUCCGGGUGUAGCGGUGGAAUGCGUAGAGAUCCGGAAGAACACCGGAGGCGAAGGCGGCUUGCUGGGCGUGAUCUGACGCUGAGGCGCGAAAGCGUGGGGAGCGAACAGG
rnacentral:rRNA from 1 species